rnacentral:tRNA from 1 species
GGGGUUAUGGCUCAGCGGUAGAGCAUUUGCCUAGCAUGUAGGAGGCCCUGGGUUCGAUCCUCAGCACCA